GGCUGGUCCGAAGGUAGUGAGUUAUCUCAAUUGAUUGUUCACAGUCAGUUACAGAUUGAACUCCUUGUUCUACUCUUUCCCCCCUUCUCACUACUGCACUUGACUGGUCUUUU
rnacentral:Y_RNA from 1 species